AGAAUCAACGCUGGCGGCGUGCCUAACACAUGCAAGUCGCACGAGGAAGGGGACUUCGGUCCUUGAGUACAGUGGCGCACGGGUGAGUAACACGUGAAUUAUCUACCUUCGAGUGGGGAAUAACUGAGAGAAAUCUUAGCUAAUACCGCAUAAUACCUACGGGUCAAAGCAGCAAUGCGCUUGAAGAGGAGUUCGCGGCAGAUUAGUUAGUUGGCGGGUAAUGGCCCACAAGACGAUGAUCUGUA
rnacentral:rRNA from 1 species